rnacentral:rRNA from 1 species
AGGCCUUGACAUGCAGAGAACUUUCCAGAGAUGGAUUGGUGCCUUCGGGAACUCUGACACAGGUGCUGCAUGGCUGUCGGUCAGCUCGUGUCGUGAGAUGUUGGGUUAAGUCCGUAACGAGCGCAACCCUUGUCCUUAGUUACCAGCACGUUAUGGUGGGCACUCUAAGGAGACUGCCGGUGACAAACCGGAGGAAGGUGGGGAUGACGUCAAGUCAUCAUGGCCCUUACGGCCUGGGCUACACACGUGCUACAAUGGUCGGUACAAAGGGUUGCCAAGCCGCGAGGUGGAGCUAAUCCCAUAAAACCGAUCGUAGUCCGGAUCGCAGUCUGCAACUCGACUGCGUGAAGUCGGAAUCGCUAGUAAUCGUGAAUCAGGAUGUCACGGUGAAUACGUUCCCGGGCCUU